rnacentral:misc_RNA from 1 species
AUCGACAUUUCGAACGCACAUUGCGGUCCUCGGAUACUGUUCCUGGACCACUCCUGGCUGAGGGUCGCAUCCAUCAGACUGCCGGCAUUUGUUCUUCAAUUUUUUUGGAUUGGGGAGCGCUUGUCGCGCGAAAUUGAGAGUUCGCUCGGGUUCCCGCACGGGUCCCGCCGGCGUCUCUUUAAAUCACAGAACGGUCGUUUCCGAGCCCUCGCGGGUCAGGUACGACUUCACGAGCGUCGGCGCCUUGCGCCCGUACGGCUCCGCGUUAAGCGCGAGACCGCCCGGUUGACGUGUCCUAGACUACUUUGACUAGAAGACGUCUGAUCGAGUGCGAGUCCGCGUGCGGGGCAUCCAAACGUACGGCCGCGCAUAUUCGACGGUGCCGCGCGACUAUUAAAAUCCAUCAUGCGACCUCAGAGCAGGUGAGACUACCCCCUAAAUUUAA